rnacentral:rRNA from 1 species
GACGAACGCUGGCGGCGUGCCUAAUACAUGCAAGUCGAACGCAGUGGGGACGGGUGAGUAACACGUGGGUAACCUCCCAUCAGAGGGGAUAAAACUUGGAAACAUGUGCUAAACCGCUACUGCUGGAUGGACCCGCGGUGCAGUAGCUAGUUGGUGAGGUAACGGCUCACCAAGGCCACGUGGCAUAGCGGACCUGGGAGGUUGAUCGGCCACACGGGGACUGAGACACGGCCCAGACUCCUACGGGAGGCAGCAGUAGGGAAGCUUCGGCAAUGGACGAAAGUCUGAACGAGCAACGCCGCGUGAGUGAAGAAGGUUUUCGGAUCGUAAAACUCUGUUGUUAGAGAAGCGGUAUCUAACCAGAAAGCCACGGCUAACUACGUGCCAGCAGCCGCGGUAAUAC